rnacentral:rRNA from 1 species
AGGACGAACGCUGGCGGCGUGCUUAACACAUGCAAGUCAAGGGGGCUCAGCAAUGAGCAACCGGCGAACGGGUGCGUAACACGUGAGCAAUCUGCCGUUCUUGUGGGGGAUAGCCGGCCCAACGGCCGGGUAAUACCGCAUACGCUCUGCUGGAGACAUCUCCUACAGAGGAAACCCUUCGGGGGCAAGACGAGGAGCUCGCGGCCUAUCAGCUAGUUGGUGGGGUCAAAGCCCACCAAGGCGACGACGGGUAGCUGGUCUGAGAGGAUGGCCAGCCACAUUGGGACUGAGACACGGUCCAGACUCCUACGGGAGGCAGCAGUGGGGAAUUUUGGACAAUGGGCGCAAGCCUGAUCCAGCCAUGCCGCGUGAGUGAAG